rnacentral:rRNA from 1 species
ACCUACGGGGCGCAGCAGUAGGGAAUUUUCGUCAAUGGGCGCAAGCCUGAACGAGCAAUGCCGCGUGAACGAGGAAGGUCUUCGGAUCGUAAAGUUCUGUUGAAGGGGAAAAAGAGCGGAGAGAGGAAAUGGUCUCCGAUUGAUAUUACCCUUCGAGGAAGUCACGGCUAACUACGUGCCAGCAGCCGCGGUAAUACGUAGGUGGCGAGCGUUAUCCGGAAUGAUUGGGCGUAAAGGGUGCGUAGGCGGCCUGCUAAGGCUGGAGUGAAAGGUACCGGCUCAACCGGUACAGGCUCUGGAAGCUG